rnacentral:rRNA from 1 species
AGGAUGAACGCUAGCGGCAGGCCUAAUACAUGCAAGUCGGACGGGAUUGGAGAGCUUGCUUUCCAUGAGAGUGGCGCACGGGUGCGUAACACGUAUGUAACCUACCUUCGUCAGGGGGAUAGCCUCUCGAAAGAGAGAUUAAGACCGCAUAACAUUGAGAUGCAGCACUGCAAUUCAAUCAAAUAUUUAUAGGACGAAGAUGGGCAUGCGGAACAUUAGCUAGUUGGUAAGGUAACGGCUUACCAAGGCUACGAUGUUUA